GACGAACCGUCCUAACGUUGUUCGGAAUUACUGGGCGUAAAGGGCUCGUAGGCGGCCAACUAAGUCAUACGUGAAAUCCCUCGGCUUAACCGGGGAACUGCGUCUGAUACUGGAUGGCUUGAGUUCGGGAGAGGGAUGCGGAAUUCCAGGUGUAGCGGUGAAAUGCGUAGAUAUCUGGAGGAACACCGGUGGCGAAGGCGGCAUCCUGGACCGAGAUUGACGCUGAUGCGCGAAAGCCAGGGGAGCAAACGGG
rnacentral:rRNA from 1 species